AGUUUAUUAUUUAACACAACUUAUUACAAAGAUAUAAAUGAUGAAAGAGUCCAAUUAUGAAAUCAAAACCAAAUCAACCACAAAGCUUCUUCCUCAAUUGACCCUCUCCGAUGCUCUCUGUUCGAGACGUUACUUCAUACCCUUUUUCUGCCCUGUUGCGGCUGCUGAAAAGAACAAGGUAGACGGGAUCUUGAGAUGAAAGAUUGAAAAGCUGAAGAGCUAUAUAGGCACAUGUGCUGAUGCUGCCAGAACAAAUUAUAAGUAUUAUCCAUAAAGCUGCACUCAGCCAACUUGAUUCCUUAUAAGCAACCCAAACCGAGAGAGCCACAACACCAACAUAGAAAUCAAUCACUGUUGCUAUCACCCACGGAGUAAAAACAUCUCUGCGAAAUGGAGAACCAUCAGUUACAAUGGUGUAAAUCAAUGUCCCUAGCAUCAGACAGCCCAAAGCAGGAAAUAGAAUUCUUGCAGUUAAAAGAGAACAUUUCUUCUGUUGUUCUGUUUCAGUCUUUUCCUGACGUCGUAAUAGGACAAAGUAAAUUGGAUCCUGUAAAGAUUCCUGAGUUGAAAGCUUAAGAAAUUGCAACACGAUGUAGCCACAUGUAGCAAUGCUUCCCAAACAUACUAGCAAGACCACCCAAAGUAUUGCAGUAAUCCAGUUUGAUUCCUUGUAGACAACCCAAGACCAUAUAACAAAUAUGUGGAUGUAGAAAUCUAUCAGGGUAGCUGCCAUCCACGGGGUAAGGAGUUCUAUGCGGAAAGGAAGGCCAUCAGUGGCGACGGUGUAUAUUACGGUGGCUGUAAUCAAACAUCCCAACACAGAGAAGAGACUCUUCAAUGCAGUUGCUAAAGAUGCUGCCAUUUUUGAGUAUUCGGUCUUCG
rnacentral:misc_RNA from 1 species